AUUGCCAGUCCUCUGGUGACUGGUAAGUCAAUUUGGUUGUCCUUGCCCACCUACCAGUGUGUCAAGGGAAUCUCAGCAGCCAUUUCACCAUGUGGAGGGCAGGGUUAACAAAUCCAAGCUCUGCAUUUUUCAGUGGCUGUAGUUUUGCUUAGUCUUGGAGCAUUCUCAUCCUGCUGUAAGAAAGUUUGAUACACAGGGUUUGGGCUGCUCAAUUCUGCAGCCUGAUCCCAGUUCCCUGGCUUUCAUAGGUACACUGUGGGUGCUCAGGACAUGCUGCUCCAUAACUUUGCUGGGACACAGUCUGUCAUCCUAGAAAAGGUGUGCAGGAGCUCUCAGUGGACAUUCUGCACCCACAGAAGUUCCCUCUGACUUAGCCACCUGUGGUCCUGCUGCAGCCAACAGAGACAACUCCCACAUUCCUGAAUUCCUGUAAGCUGAGUUGCUGAGUGGAGCGUGUUGGCGGAGUCCUGCACAUCUCCAGACCGAUACAUGGUUUGAAACGUUAAAACCAGAAGAUCUGGAAGUUUUCACCGGUUGUCUGAUGUACAUAAAAUUUCUUUAGGGUUGUUUUAGAAUUGCUGGAAUUUUUUGCAAGAUUCUACAAUCUCCAUUUCAGACUCCUAACCUUGGCCUCAUGUUUUCCAAAGAUGGAUGGACUUGUGGGGGUUUUAUGGGGGGCUAAGAUACCAUUUUGAGGUUUGGAAGGAGGACAUAACUAGGAUUUUACAUGACUGAGAUAACCCAGCUAGGGGUGUCCAAAAGCUGAUAACACCCUGAAAGCAGCGCUCUACAGCUGAGUUUCUGUCUUUUGUGAAAUGCCCUGGAUUGAAUUAAAAAGGCUCCUUCUGAGCCAUUUUUUUGCACAAACAUGCAGUAGCUGCAAGAUGAAUUUUUAGUUUCAAAAUAAUUGUGAAGAUACACUCUUCUUUCAAUGGCACAUAUGCUACAGAAGUAACAAAAACACUACUGCAAGUAAGGAUUUGGCAUUUCUAAUUGGUUUUGAACCUUCUCCAGCACAAAAAUUUAAGUGUUAGGUCCCUGCCUGCCUUCUGGAAUUUGGAUACAAGGAAAUAAUUUUUGUGGAGUAAAUUUGUAUCACUUCCCAGAGACUGCCUGAUACAUAAGAUGCAUUUUGGUCUUUUCAGAGCAUUCAGAAAAAUAACUUUGUUACUGCUUGUGUAUACAUGAGAAAUUUCUGGCUCUGUCACCAAUAGGAGUAUUCAGGAGAGCCUAAGUUUUCAGUUAGAGGGUAAAUUUAAAACAGAUAGCAAUUUUAAGCUAAACUGUGCUGUAAACCUUGAUAUCAGUGUUCUGUUUUUAGCUUUAUAAAUUUUCCUCGAAAUGCAGAAAUCCAGGGACUCACAUUUUAAGUGAAAUGCUACAAUGGAUGUUUCUCCUGGGGUAACUUUCUCUUUCUGGCCAACUUUGUCCUUGGUGCUGCUUUUUGAACAAAUGGCUAUAAAUCAGAAGUAAUGCUCCUGAAACCUAUGAAAUACAGCAGGACAUAAAUAUCAAAGCUUUGCCAUUGUGAAAAACAC